GCCUCACAACUGAAGGCAGGGCGAACGCAUGCGCAACGUCACGUGGCUCGCUGAGCCUCCAAGUGAAGGUGGAAAAAAACGUCUCUUGAAGUCUUUCGGAAAGCAUUUGCAGUCAACUAAAGGUGAACGUGCGUAUCUUCAAGUAGAUUCAUGGGGAAAACUCUGAAUGAAAACCUGACCUCACAGAUCCUUAUUAAGACCAUCCAAAGGGCUCUGUAAGCAAAUGACGGAUGCUUCCGUGCUCUGCCCUGAAAACUAACCACGUCUGUGACACCGGUGCACCAGCCAUCACUAAAGACAUUCAAACCGCAAACCAGGAAAGCUGGAAGCUGGAUUAUCACAGCCAUCUUCACCCCGCCGUCUAAAGAGGUUUUGAUCCCAGCCUCCAGGAGUCUUUUUGACUGACUUCCAUCUGAUCCCCAAAAUUGGAUUUAGAAUUUGCUUCAUUCAUUCAUUUUUGGUUUUCUUUUGGUUUCCACAGGAAUGCUGCUUCCUGAAAAGUAAGUUUCAAUGGGCAGAAUGAAAGGUAUCAGAAUAUGCCACCCCCAAAGGUGCCUCUUUGUCAUAGGGAUUAGUUUGAGCUAAAUGCAAUUGAGGACCAGCAUAUGUAGGAAAAGCUCUUCAGCUCCCCUUACUACCUAAAAUGGAGUACAAUUUUCCCCUUUUGUAAAGGAAAAUUUACAUUUAAAAAAGGAAAUUGCCAUUGGUAAAGAUGUCUCUCACCAGGGAGAGACAGAUCUACACCCAGAGACAACUCACCUGAGAGACUCUUAUCUGCAGAGCAAGGCAACCCUUAUUUACUAUAUAUUUUCUGCCUUCCCCUUUCCAAAACAUGCCUCUCCCGCCUAGAAGCUCAAACCUCUUUUCUUUUGUUUAGCCUAAGAUCAUAUAUAAAGCCUCAUUCAUCUAGCUGCCUCCUUGAGUUUUCAUUUUGUUGAAGCAAAAUGUAUAUGCAUGUAUAUGCAUAUAGCCUUCUCUCUCUCUCUCUCUCUCUUGUUCAUCUGUUUCUUAUCAGUUUCAUUGGAGGGCUUGGUUGGUGAACCUAGGAAGGUAGAGGGGAAAAAAGGCUUUCCUUCCCUUCACUGUCAAAGACCCUGGAAAUGAGUGAGGCUAGGGGUUCUGAAGUAGUGCACAGAUGGGGGGCUGAUACAUACAAAUAGUAAGU